rnacentral:rRNA from 1 species
CAAUAGCGUAUAUUUAAGUUGUUGCAGUUAAAAAGCUCGUAGUCGGAUUUUGGCUGAGAACGAUCGGUCCGCCGUUAGGUGUGCACUGAUUGGUCUCAGCUUCCUGGUGAGGAGGUGUGCUUCACGGCCACUUAGUCACCGUGGUUACUUUGAAAAAAUUAGAGUGUUCAAAGCGGGCUUACGCUUGAAUAUAUUAGCAUGGAAUAACACCAUAGGACUCCUGUCCUAUUUCGUUGGUCACGGGACGGGAGUAAUGAUUAAGAGGAACAGUUGGGGGCAUUUGUAUUUCAUUGUCAGAGGUGAAAUUCUUGGAUUUAUGAAAGACGAACUUCUGCGAAAGCAUUUGCCAAGGAUGUUUUCAUUGA